rnacentral:rRNA from 1 species
GAGGGGCAGCGGGGAGUAGCAAUACUUCGCCGGCGACCGGCGCACGGGUGAGUAACACGUGUGCAACCAACCCCGUACCGGGAGAUAACCCGCGGAAACGUGGACUAACAUCCCAUAACACUGUAUCAUCGCAUGGUGAUGCAUUUAAAAUUCCGGUGGUACGGGACGGGCACGCGCGACAUUAGGUAGUUGGCGGGGUAACGGCCCACCAAGCCGACGAUGUCUAGGGGUUCUGAGAGGAAGGUCCCCCACACUGGAACUGAGACACGGUCCAGACUCCUACGGGAGGCAGCAGUGAGGAAUAUUGGUCAAUGGGCGAGAGCCUGAACCAGCCAAGUCGCGUGAGGGAAGAAUGGUCUAUGGCCUGUAAACCUCUUUUGCCAGGGAAGAAUAAAAGGUACGUGUACCUUCUUGCCAGUACCUGACGAAUAAGCAUCGGCUAACUCCGUGCCAGCAGCCGCGGUAAUACGGGGGAUGCGAGCGUUAUCCGGAUUUAUUGGGUUUAAAGGGCGCGUAGGCGGGACGCCAAGUCAGCGGUAAAAGACUGCAGCUAAACUGUAGCACGCCGUUGAAACUGGCGACCUGGAGACGAGACGAGGGAGGCGGAGCAAGUGAAGUAGCGGUGAAAUGCUUAGAUAUCACUUGGAACCCC